rnacentral:rRNA from 1 species
UACAGAGGUGGCAAGCGUUGUUCGGAAUUACUGGGCGUAAAGGGCGAGUGAGGCGGCCUUCUAAGUCAGACGUGAAAUCCCCCGGCUUAACCUGGGAACUGCGUCUGAUACUGGGAGGCUCGAGUAUGGGAGAGGGAUGUAGAAUUCCAGGUGUAGCGGUGAAAUGCGUAGAUAUCGGGAGGAACACCCGUAGCGAAGGCGGCACUCUGGGCCGGAACUGACGCUGAGGAGCGAAAGCGUGGGGAGCAAACAGG